CCUACGGGCGGCUGCAGUGAGGAAUAUUGGUCAAUGGACGGAAGUCUGAACCAGCCAUGCCGCGUGCAGGAAGACGGCUCUAUGAGUUGUAAGCUGCUUUUGUACAAGGGUAAACCUGAAUACGUGUAUUCUACUGACCGUACUGUACGUAUAAGGAUCGGCUAACUCCGUGCCAGCAGCCGCGAUAAUACGGAGGAUCCAAGCGGUAUCCGGAUUUAUUGGGUUUAAAGGGUGCGUAGGCGUAUAGAUAAGUUAGAGGUGAAAUGUCCGAGCUUAACUCGGGAACUGCCUCUAAUACUGUGGAACUAGAGAGUAGGUGCGGCAGACGGAAUGUAUGGUGUAGCGGUGAAAUGCUUAGAGAUCAUACAGAACACCGAUUGCGAAGGCAGCUUACCAAUCUAUAUCUGACGUUGAGGCACGAAAGCGUGGGGAGCAAACAGGAUUAGAUACCCGAGUAGUC
rnacentral:rRNA from 1 species